UGGAGAGUAUUUAAUACGCAUUAAAUGCAUAAAAAAUAGACUAAAAAUUAGUUGUUACGAGUGUUCGCCCAGAAUGGAUCGACCCAUGGGUCAUCCCACUGUGAAUGGGUAGUCCCAUAAGUCAUCUCAUUUGACCAGACAGAAAAAUAGGCUCUCUAUUUUAGUCUCAGGAUCUCAGGGGUCGAUCUAUAGGAUGUCCCACUGCGUGCCACAAGCC
rnacentral:lncRNA from 1 species